rnacentral:rRNA from 1 species
UACGUAGGUGGCAAGCGUUGUCCGGAUUUACUGGGCGUAAAGAGCGCGCAGGCGGUCGUUCAAGUCGCGUGUGAAAGCCCCGGGCUCAACCUGGGAAUUGCAUUCGAGACUGAAUAGCUAGGGUGCGGUAGUGGGAAGCGGAAUUUCCGGUGUAGCGGUGAAAUGCGUAGAUAUCGGAAGGAACAUCAGUGGCGAAAGCGACUUCCUGGACCAAUACUGACGCUCAUGUGCGAAAGCGUGGGGAGCAAACAGG